ACUGCCAUAAUGCUAUAGUGCUGGUUUGCAAAGAAAAGUUGGCUAACAGUUAGCAUGGCAAAGAAGGCACUCUUUUGUUGUCCGUGUCUGCUAAACUGGUUGUGGACGGGUUUCCUAGAUUUAAAACAUCUCUCUGACUCUAAACCACUCUGUACAGUCCCAUUGAGCUUUACGCAGGUAAGAUGGGUCUUGUGUCUAAAACUUAGAGGAGGAUUUUACUGAGAAAGUGACUCUGAUAAAAACUAUAACAACAAUUCCAGUUAAGACAUAAAGUGCAGAGGAUAACAACUUUCAACUUUCAACUGUCCAUGCUCUCUAAUGCAAGCUGAAGUUCGCCCAGAACAAGAACCGCAGCGCUGCUUUUCUCUUCAAAAGAGCCCCCAGCUUUGCGUCAUGAAACUUCAGCCUGGCAGUGGGACUUAAACACACAGGUGGAACAAGCCAGGGUGAAACAGAUCUGUCUGCAGCAGGGUUUCCGUCCCCACAGUCCAGGGGGGAUUUGGUCCCCAGGUUUGUUGACUGACCAGUGGGUCUCAGGCUUAAAUCCCGCCUUGACCUUUGACCCCAACACUAAUUACAUAUAGCCAGAGUGCUGACGGCUAUAAUACACCCUGGGCUGAAUAGAAAGCCUCCCAAGGUUGUCUACAAAAGACACGGAAGCUGCAGAGCAGAAGACGCCUUGAACCCUUUAAGCCCGGACGGAGACCCUGGACUGUGGGUGGAAGCGGUGAUCACUGGAGGGAUGGAGGCGUUUCUCAGAGCAUUAACAUGACCUUUGUUUAGCUCUAAUCCCACAGACAAAUAAUGUUGUCAGUGAUAAGGUGGCGAUGGGAAAGCGGGUGAUGAUUGUUCAGGAGCAGAGGGGUCAUGGCUUCAAUUGGAGAGAUCUUUCUUGUUAAAAACUUCACUUAAAAUUAGAAAUAAUGAACAGCUGAUUCAGAA